rnacentral:rRNA from 1 species
CAUGCAAGUCGAACGCUGAACCGGUUUCGGCCGGGGAUGAGUGGCGAACGGGUGAGUAACACGUGGGUAAUCUGCCCUGUACUCUGGGAUAAGCCUGGGAAACUGGGUCUAAUACCGGAUACGACCACUACAAGGCAUCUGUGGGGGUGGAAAGUUCCGGCGGUAUGGGAUGAACCCGCGGCCUAUCAGCUUGUUGGUGGGGUAAUGGCCUACCAAGGCGACGACGGGUAGCCGGCCUGAGAGGGUGACCGGCCACACUGGGACUGAGACACGGCCCAGACUCCUACGGGAGGCAGCAGUGGGGAAUAUUGCACAAUGGGCGCAAGCCUGAUGCAGCGACGCCGCGUGAGGGAUGACGGCCUUCGGGUUGUAAACCUCUUUCGCCAGGGACGAAGCGCAAGUGACGGUACCUGGAUAAGAAGCACCGGCUAACUACGUGCCAGCAGCCGCGGUAAUACGUAGGGUGCGAGCGUUGUCCGGAAUUAUUGGGCGUAAAGAGCUCGUAGGCGGUUUGUCGCGUCGGCUGUGAAAUCUGGAGGCUUAACCUUCAGCGUGCAGUCGAUACGGGCAGACUUGAGUUCGGCAGGGGAGACUGGAAUUCCUGGUGUAGCGGUGAAAUGCGCAGAUAUCAGGAGGAACACCGGUGGCGAAGGCGGGUCUCUGGGCCGAUACUGACGCUGAGGAGCGAAAGCGUGGGGAGCGAACAGGAUUAGAUACCCUGGUAGUCCACGCUGUAAACGUUGGGCGCUAGGUGUGGGCGACAUUCCACGUUGUCCGUGCCGUAGCUAACGCAUUAAGCG